AAAAAAAAAAAGAAGACCUAAUAAACAAGAGACAAUGUUUAAAUAACUGCUCAGUGUUGUGACACCCACCAUCUCUGAAAAAUACCAGAGUUUAUUUUUGUGUUGGCCAUCUACUGCUGGGAAUGGUUUGUGUCCCCACUGAAACUCCACUAGAGAAAGCUACUUUUUCCUCUGUUAGUGGUUUUUAAGUGGUUUUAGAUUUUCUGGGUUAGGGAUGGGGGUUCAGGUCCAAUUCUCCUGUCAGUUCUUGAAUCCCAUCUGACAUGGACCUGUGUAAGCUGUCCUGCUGGGUCUGUAAGGCCUUGUCUCUUUGUCUUCUGUCCCAUCUGGCUCUCAAGACUUUUUCCACCACCUCUUUCCCAUACUUCAGCCCUUGGGGAAGGAUUUGAUGAAGACAUCCCAUUUAAGACAGAGGGUCCCACUCUCUUCACUCUGUCCAGUUGUAUUAGUUCCCAUCCCCUGCAGGAGGAAACUUCUCUAAUGCUGGCUAAGCAAGACACCAAUCUAUGGUACAGUAGGAUGUCAUUAAGAAUCAUUUUAUUGCUGUGUACCUUUAGCAGAACAAUAGUUCUGGUUUUCCCCUAGGUCCAUGGCCUGUCUAGUCUCCAGUUCUUGGCCACCCAAACAGUGUCAGGGAUGGGUUCCAUCUCCUGGAGUAACCUUAGGUCUAAGCAGAGAGUGGUUGGUUGUUCCCACAACAUCUGUGCCACAAUUGUGCCAGUAUCAUACCGAAAGGUCACCAUUGUAGAUCAAAGUGUAUGAACCUGGGUUAAUGUUCUGGUUAGCAUUCAGCAUACCUUCUAGUACCAUAAACCCUAGUCAGUGGGGCUGAAGGCUCGAGUUAGGCAUUUGACUUCUCUGUGUUCAUUGAGAUGGGUAGGUGUUGGCAUCAGCAAUAGGGCCUUACCAUAGGGCUGUGGAGAGCAGGCAAUCACCUGGGAGUUUCCAUGGGGUACCUUUGGCCAACAACUCAAUUGGAUGUCACCCAUUCUGGCCAUUUUACUUGAAGUCGAGAGAUCUAGUUAGGUUUCCCUCAUUAUUUGGUGAAUCCACUUAGAUUCUUUCAUAUAUGCAUAUAUUUUAAGGAGCUUCUAUAGUAGGUUUCCAUAUGACCCCUCAGGUGGAUUUAGUGUUCGCUAUCCCUCCCUGUAUUCCUUCACCCACCCAUCUCUCCCCCACCCCUUGUGUGAAGUAGAUGAAGUCCCACCUUCCUGAGGAAAUGCCUCACUGAUUUCCUCAGUAGCCAUACACGUCUGCAUCGUGUACAUCCCACCAGCGAUUGAGGAUUUCCCUUAGUCCACAUCCAGCCUGAGUUGUCAUUUGUUUUAUUGAUCUUGGCCGUCCUAUUACUGGCAGUUUUGAUUUGCAUUUCCUUAAUAACAGUGCUGAGCACUUUUAAGAGUUUUUCUCAGCAAUUUGUGUUUCAUCUUUUGAGAACUCUCUAACUCCACACCCCACUCUUUAAUUGGGUUAUAUGUUUUCUUGGUGUCCAGUUUUUUAGUUCUUUAUGUGUUUCAGAUAUUAGCCCUCUAUCAGACACAUCAUCGAUAAAGGUUUUUUUCCCAUUUUAUAGGCUGUCAAUUUGUCCAAAUAACAGUUUUCCUUUGCCAUACUGAAGCUUUGCAGUUUCAUGGACAUUUAUUAACUGAUCUUAAUACCUGUCCUACCAGCAUUCUGCCCAGAAAGUCUUUUCCUGCGUCAAUUCAAGGCUAUUCCCUACUUUCUAUCAGAUUCAGGAUAUCAGGCCUCCUGUUGAGGUCUUUUGAACCAUUUGAAGUUGAGUUUGUGCAGGGUGAUAAGUAUGGUUCUAUCUGGAUUCUUCUACAUGCAGAUAUCGAGGUUGAUCAGCACAAUUUGUUGAAGAUUAUUUUUUCCCAUGUAUAUUUCCGACUUUGUCAAAAAUCAAGAAACACUUAUGCAGCUUGGAGGAUGGCAGAGAGGAAUUGAGGUGGCCUAGGAGAGAACUUCCCGAAGAGCUAAGGGGAUCCUGUCCACAUCUGGAGCGAAGAAACCCUCCUGGUGCAGACAGCAAAAGGCCUGUUUCAAGUGAGGGAUGGCUAGUUCAAGGACAGGAGGGUGACAUCACAAGGACCAAUCUGUAAGCCAGAAGACUCAGAAGACUAAAAAGGCAAAAUUAGGUAGCAGGGGUUACCUGCUCAGAGCAGAGACAGAUGGGAAAUUUCUGUCAUCAUUAAGGUUUUAUUGACCAGCGCGGCUGAAAUUUCCCAGAGAGAGGAAUUCAUCUCGCUACCGACUGAGAGCAGACAUCCUGCUGGGAGUAGUUACAUAAAUUCUGUUGCUCAAAUUAAUUAGGAUUGUGAUUCAUUUGUUUAAUGAAGAAUCUGAUGGCGAGAGGCAAGGCAGCCUAGCCUUGCCGAGUUCAGCCAAUCCCGGGUGAUAGUGCGGCAGAUGGGGUGGGACCAGGCCUGGAGCUGGCUGCCGAUGGGCAGAGACAACCAACCAGAAUGCAGAGCUGAAGCCAGUGGGAGCCGCUGCUGUCCCCUCCAAAGCUGGUGGCUGGAGAGACGCAGAUUCCCAGCUUAAAGCUUUCCCAGCUUCGCCGCCGCCCAGAGGCUUCCGGCCUCCUGCUUCCUCUGUGCGGAACAACUGCGAACAGCUGAAACACACGCCUCAUUAGCACCGACCGUCCACCCAUUUCCUCAUGCCACCCCCAAACGCCAGACUUUAUGCUUCUUGGAACACAAAGUAGGGACAGGUAGAGCACCGGCCUGUCCCACCUGCUUCGAAAAGACCCCUCCCCUCUACCCAGACUUCCCUGCCUGCGAGUGGAAGGGCAGCCCCAUUCCACAGUCGCCUCUGGAAGCACCUUCCCCAGGUUCUGUGAUCCUGGCUCUCAGCCGCAGUUGUAGAGGUAAGAGGCAGGUAGGCGGCCGGAGAAAGGUAGCCCCGGGUGAGGCUGGAGAGAAGCAGGAACUGCACAACUCCAGGAGACGGUGACUGAUUGAUCGACUAUGUAGGUAACACUCUUUGGGAUAAGAUUUAAAAGAUGCUCCCUAGCAUCCCUAGAGAAAAAGGUCAAGUCAGAUGUUUUGAGUGAGUCUGAGGGAUUUGUUGAAGUGGAUGCUGGAGAAGAAGAGAAGUCAGGUAAGCUUGGGACUUUUAUUUAUUGAUGCCACGUCUGCAGGAGUCCUUCCUGGGAGCCAUGUUUUCUUUCUAGAUGCCCCCACUUCUUAUUUGGACUGGACCUGGAAAGCCACAGGUCAGACCCAGCAGGACUUUUAAUGAAUCAGAACGAACUAUUACACGGGCAUGUGUCCUGAUAUCUUCCCCCACACUACCUAGAUGCCUCUCCUGGAUCAGUUACAGCUCACUUAAAAAGAAGCAGAGUCCACAAAUGGAAUGAACUGUGACGCAAAUGUUUGCCUGCUAGACCUUGGAUUCCCUGUCCUCAAAAGGUGCCUGCGGUCAUCUGACUCCAUUCAGUGGCCAAGGGAAAUCUUAAGCAUGAAUGUAUCUUGUCACUGUUCUUUAACUCUCUGAAAGAUUUCCCAACACAGAAGUUAAAACAGUAAAGCCAUCCAGCCUAAGGUGAGGUGAUCUGACACAUCUUCCUCUAGUUAAUACGGCCCCUUCUACAGCCCUCUUGCUGGUUGCCCUCUGCCUGACCCACUGUUUCUCCCUGAGGCACCCCAUAACUCCACAAAGUGUUCCCACCCCUUGGGAGGCCCUGGCUGCUCUCCUUCCCUGGGUUGUGUUUGGGGUGUGGCUAUAUUACAGAGGCCCGAGUGUUGGUGACAGUGUUGAACUGGUGGGACUUUAAAGAAAUGAGCCUUACUGGAAGGUCAUCUGGUUCCCUGGGGAUGAGGUAGUUCUCAGGUAACCCUGAGGUGGUUCUGGUGAGAGGGUUGUUAGAAAAGAGCCUGGCUGCUGUCAUUCCACCGGUCCUCUGAUACCCUCAUACAUAUUCUUACCAAUGAGAUGCCAUCUAUGAAGCCUUCACCAGAGUCAGCCUGAUGCUGGCACCGGGCCCUUGAACCUCAGAACUGUGAGCUGCUCAAAAAGUUAUCAAACACCAAGCAUUUUGUUAUAGUGGAAUACAUAUCGAUGGCUAGAGAUGCAGAGAUGAAAGACAGACUCCAACAUUAAGGUUGGCUAAAUAGCACUAAGCAGGCCUUCUGAGCAGGAGUGGCAGGAUCAGAUCUGAGAUUAUGAAUUUUCAUGGCGAAUGGAGGCUAGAGAUGGUUAGGAAACUGUUAGAAUAGUCCUACAGUAAAUGGUAUUUUAGAAAUAACAAAAUACCUCAGAAUUAUAAAAUAAGGGCUCUGCUUCUAAAAUGUCACCUUGUGUCCUUCAGAAGGGACAAGCAUUAUCCUCACAUGACUAAACAUCUUUCUGCAGUGUGUGUAUAUGUAUGCCUUGAUACAAAACUAAUGUUACCAUCCUGACAUCUAGAAUGACCUGGGAAACAGGCCUCUGGACAAAGCCUUGUGACAGAAGUAUCUUAGUUGAGUUCAUUAAGAUGGGAAGACCUGCCUACUGUGGGUGGCAACAUUCCCUGGGUCCUAGGCUGUAUAAAAAGGAUGUGAGCUGAGUAGAAUCAUCCCGUUUCUUGACUGUUGGUGGAGUGUGUAUGUGAUUUCACCAGGAGAGACCUCUGUGAGCCAAAAUGAACCUUUUAAAUUGCUCUUAAUCAGGAAGCCUGAGCAACAGGGAAGCAACCCUCUGUCUAGGAUAGCCAGGUCUCAGAGCCUGAAAAGUGGCCAGUUCUUUGCAACUGCACACUCCACACCCUGAAUGUGUAAAAUGUCAGCACUGGAAGACACCUUCAGUUGCCCAUUCACCAAGGUCUUGGCAGGAAACAGGACUCUGUUCUAAUAGAUCAACUGAAGAUGCUCUAGUGAACUGUUUACAGAGAGCUGUGCAGGACUGAGGAUGCCAAGGAGGGUACUAGGAAAGCUAGAGACUACUGAAACCGCCAAGGCCUACGGGAGUGUUGCUGGAUCUAGAGAAGAAGGCUGGGGAUGAGUGGGAAAGUGGUGGGCAGGCACCUGAGCCAAAACCAGAGGAGCAAAGAGCAUCCCAGCCUCCUCCUCCUCCUCCUCCCCUCCUGCCCCCUACCAGUGCCUCUCAUUGGCCAAACCACGCUGGAGCCAAGCAGUAGGGAGCCUCUUGAUUAUUCUACAAGGUCAGCUUUCUGAUGCCCAGGGCAGGGAAGAGGAGGGGAGAUCUCAUCCUGCAAAAGGCAGAAAGCAAGCUCAGAGCAGAGGCAACUCGCUUUUGUGGGGCAAGUCAGGAGAAGGCCCAUGUUCCCUCUUCCUUGGGUGACGCAGUCUGACCUGGAAGCAGCUUAGGCAGAGGGAAGCAGCAGAUCAAGGACAGUGGAGAGCAGCACGGGGAAGAUGGCAUCCACAGGCCGCAAGAAGAGGGGGAUGGAUGCUUCUUCCCCAUCUCUUCAUAGUCUGCUUGAUCACUGCUUCUGCCCCAUUUCCCCAGGCAUGGGGACAAAAACACAGACCUGAGGCUGACAGGGACAGUUCCCUGGGGCUGCUUACUGAUCCCGCACAAGAUGGUUUAAUUGAUGUCCUUAUAAUAAAUGGUGCAGAAAAGCAACACGCCUUUAGUCUUCUGGGAGCCUCAAGGAAACAGGAGAGGGAAGUGGGAACCCCAGGACAGCAAGUGCAGUUAGAAAGGAGCUGAGACGGAGAAGCCAUGGAGCCCUGGGUUCAGUCAAGUCUCAGCCUUUCUGAGCUGCUCGCUCUGUCCUUGUCAAAGCCUAAGAAGUGCCUGGACCAUGCCUACAUCUCCUCCCCACUCCACUGUGUUCCCACUGCAGUCUCUCCAGGCCCCAGGGCAACCCAGGCUUCAUCCAUGCUGCUCUCUCCUGUAAUGCCCUCUGCUUCCCUGCAAGACCCCUCCUUCCAUUGUUCUUAAGCUCCUUUGAGCCCCUUCCAUCCCCUGACUGCCCUGGCAUGAUGGCUGCCUGGACCCCUUCUCUCCCUUUCCCUCUGACUUAGCUUGUAGUUACAAGGCAGGAACUGCAUUUUCUCUUUCGCACCUAACAGGCCCCACUGUGAUCAGGUGAUGAGAGGAAGCAGCAGGGCGGAGAGUGGGGAAGCUCAGGUGGGCACAGCCAGGCACAGCAGGGGCCCCGAUAAGAGGACAGCUCCUCUACAGCCCUGAGCUCCCUCCCAGCUAAUUAGGAUAGAGCAUCCAUCAUGCACUUGUAUCUUUAGCAUGGGACACAGCCUCCCCAGGGCCUGGGCCCAGCUGGCUCUCUGCUCAGACUCAUAAACUUGUAACUGACUCAGGAGCAGAGGACAUAGGAGCCGUGCUGUGAAAUCAUAAAACGAGCAUCAGGAAGAAUCUUAUCAUUCGGAAAGAGUGAGGGCCCCGUGCUCCCAAAGACAAGGCACUCUGCAGCUUCCUCCGGGUAUCUUGGCACGUUUAUCUCAGAAUCCAAGUGUCACAUGAUAAGAAACCCAGGCCACGGGAGAACUUAUGUCUAGAUACCUGGAGUGACACCAUCAGCUGCCAACCACACCAUGCAAAGACAGGACCAUCUCGGACAGCCAGCCAACAAAGCCUUCAGAUGACUCCAGGCCGAGCCACUGCCUGGCACAACCACACAACAGACACAGAACCGUCCAGCUAAGUUCAGCUAACCCGUGCAACUGUACAGGAUAAUAGUUUACACUGCUAGAAACUCCUUGCAUAUAGAUACCACUUUAGAGAGGAGCAGCUGCAACCACAACAGCGAAGUGACUCACUGAAAGCCUUGGGACGCUGAGAGGUGGAGCCUGGGGUGUUUAGCUGCAGUCACCCCACCAGAACAGGUAGAGAAGUGAGCUUCCCAGAGGAGAAGAAGGGGAAAGGGAAAGAAAGAUGAAUUUCAUUUAAAAAUCCCAAAUUAAUUCCAUUUAUAAAAGAAACUGUUCUCCAUGUGUACGGUUUUUGUUUUUAGUCUUCUAAAUGGUAUCUUGAAAUUUA